rnacentral:rRNA from 1 species
GACGAACGCUGGCGGCGUGCUUAACACAUGCAAGUCGAGCGGAAAGGCCCUUCGGGGUACUCGAGCGGCGAACGGGUGAGUAACACGUGAGUAACCUGCCCCAGACUUUGGGAUAACCCUCGGAAACGGGGGCUAAUACCGGAUACGACCUUGGACCGCAUGGUCUUUUGGUGGAAAGUUUUUCGGUUUGGGAUGGGCUCGCGGCCUAUCAGCUUGUUGGUGGGGUAAUGGCCUACCAAGGCGACGACGGGUAGCCGGCCUGAGAGGGCGACCGGCCACACUGGGACUGAGACACGGCCCAGACUCCUACGGGAGGCAGCAGUGGGGAAUAUUGCACAAUGGGCGGAAGCCUGAUGCAGCGACGCCGCGUGAGGGAUGACGGCCUUCGGGUUGUAAACCUCUUUCAGCAGGGACGAAGCGCAAGUGACGGUACCUGCAGAAGAAGCGCCGGCCAACUACGUGCCAGCAGCCGCGGUAAGACGUAGGGCGCGAGCGUUGUCCGGAUUUAUUGGGCGUAAAGAGCUCGUAGGCGGCUUGUCGCGUCGACCGUGAAAACUUGGGGCUCAACCCCAAGCCUGCGGUCGAUACGGGCAGGCUCGAGUUCGGUAGGGGAGACUGGAAUUCCUGGUGUAGCGGUGAAAUGCGCAGAUAUCAGGAGGAACACCGAUGGCGAAGGCAGGUCUCUGGGCCGAUACUGACGCUGAGGAGCGAAAGCGUGGGGAGCGAACAGGAUUAGAUACCCUGGUAGUCCACGCUGUAAACGUUGGGCGCUAGGUGUGGGGGACCUCUCCGGUUCUCUGUGCCGCAGCUAACGCAUUAAGCGCCCCGCCUGGGGAGUACGGCCGCAAGGCUA